CUGUUCUUCAGAUGCCAUCGCCUAUCCCAACCGGCCACCCACGAUCCCCAAUUUCAGGCCGCAUGGCCGCUCGCCGCCGGGUGCUACUCCGCCCCGAGCACCGUCAAUGUCUCCGUUGCCUGCUCAGGCCCGCCCCUCUUCAUCCCCCUCCCCUCAUCGUCCUCCAUUGCCCCGAGCUCCCGUCGCCGCGCCGCAGACCACCUGCUCCUCCCGAUGCACUGCCCACGCGCGGCCACGUCUCACCUAGCUGUCCACUCGCGCGUCUCCUACCUCGGUGGUUCAGCGAGCGGCGCCGGCAGCCAUGGCAAACUGCCAUGGGUGCGGCCAGUCCGAGCUCCAGUUUAGGCAGGUCGGUCCAAAAAGAAAAGAAAAAACCGUGACCCCGUCCUCCAAUACGCCACCUGCUCCCAUCCAUUCAGCACCGCCACCCGCUUCAGCACCUGCUCGUCGGCCGCCGCCGUGCAAAGCGACCUGCCCAGCUCUUCGUCCCGCCUGCCUACGCCGGUAGGCUUUCCACCACAGCCACGCACCACUUCGCCUCCCCCUGCCCAUUGCCUCCUACACAAUCGCCUUGAAUAACAGGAGCUGCAUCUCAUCUCUCUCCCUGUAGUGGUGGUCACGGGCUGAUGUUGCUACUCCUCUCCAUCAGGAUCUAUCUCUUUCUCAUUGUCUCUAUCUCUCUCUCAUGGAUCGGCAACUGCAUUCUUCCCAAAUAUGUGUGCCCCUCUGCUCUGGAUAUUACGCCCACAACAUGUUUGAUGUUAUGCUUAUGAGGAGUUGAACUUCAAUUUUUUCAAGUUUUUCUUUGGUGUAGGCAUUCAGGCCUAGUGUAAUUUCUUUUCAAAAGUGAACAUGUUGUACAGUCCAAUGUAUCUAGGAAAAUUAAGUUAUGGAGAGUUGUUCAUCAUGUUGCUUGCAUAUUUUUUUUGUCUAACAAACUAGAUACUUCAAUUUUGGAUAUAAACAUUGAGUACGUGCUGAAAUAUUUCGCUAAUAAUAGUUUCCAACUUGCUUUUUAGCAGAACUACAGAACUAUUUGCAGCUUUUAAUUAUGUGUACUUAAAAUGGAUUUGGUGUCCAGGACAUGUGGAGUUGACAUCAAGUUGAAUUAUGUGCUGAUGUUCUUCGAUAGAAUAAUUGUUCUUCUCCUUUAAAAAUGAUGGACCAUUGACUUAUUUUUUUUAGAUGCUCAAAUACACACACAAACGACAUCCAGUAAGUGCUUGGACACCCGGCAGAUUGAAAGUACAGAAGCAAAGAUAUCCAAUACGAGGCCACGAUGCCCGACAGAGACGCGGCCAAUAUGCUCCUAAUCUUUAUUUCUUGAUUUUGGAACCACAAAUUCCUGGAACACUGCCCAGUGUUUCAGCUGCGUACAUGUCUACAACAAUACUAGCAGAUCUGAAUUUGUGUUGCUAAGGUGUAGACUAACCUGACUUCGAGGGAAAAACAUGGAGAUUAGAGUGCCCUUUUUUCCCUUCCAAUUCCAUUUUCAGCAGCUAUCAGACAUGCAUAGACAAUUUACUUUUGAGUACUUACAAUAUUAUUUUGCUACUUGCAGAGUUGUUCAAGUGGUAAUUUGUUUUACAAAUUUCUACAACAGGCUGCAUCAGCGGUUCACAACGGAGGAAGCUGUGGCGACUGCUACUGCUAGGUGUACCUGAAACAAUAAGUUUGCUUUUCACUUCAGAAUUCGGAGGAAGUCAAUGUUUGUUUUGUAGUUCAAACCAACCACUGGUUGAAAGAUCUAUUCAAAAGAUCUAUUCCAAAAUGAUACUGUCUCAUGGUGCUAGGUUAUCAAAAUAAUCCAUCAUGGCCAAAGGUAAGUUUCAUUCUUGGUAUUAGUUUGUUUCAUCCAUUCUUCCCAAGACAAAAAAUAGGUGGCAUAUGGCGAUGAGAUGAGCUUCUUUGGCUUUUUAUUUGGCAGUUCUCUUCUUGCAUCCCCUCUCUUUUCAAUGUUGUCCUGAAAUUUCAGCAACACAAUUUGUGAUCUUGUCAGGUAAUCAUGCUAAUUGAGAAAGAAAUGGUAUUCAGGACUCUGCACUUCACUAAUAUUCAUGAAAAUGUAUGUUGGUAUCUCUUUCAUUUCUAUCUCACUACUGCACACGUAACUUUAAAUCAUAUAUAUGAUGAAAGCCUGCAAACAAUUAGAGGUCAAUCUUCUUGCAUUUUUUUCAUGAACAGUUUGAUGACUCGCUAGAUGUGUUAGUCUAACUUAUAUAAGUAACCUAAUCUGUUAUUAGGUACCUGGAAUGAAUGGAUGUUACGAAUGCCUAAGCAAUAAGUGAAAAAAUAACUAUAUUUGUAUCUGUCACAAACUAGAAUAUUUUCUUAUUUGCAUUACAAAAUAAAAAAUAUAUAGUACAAAUCCUUUCCUCGUCAUAUUGUAGCCACCCAGGAGUCAUCUUUAUCCUUUAAAUGGCAACUCUUGAUGUAUAAAAGAAGCUUUUGCAGAUUCCAUUGUUAGUAGGUUAUAUUUUCACCAUUCAGUGCAAUUGUGUUGUUUCAUGUGAACUACGGGAGAUAAGAAAAACUUUAUAGAAUAAUUGUGUUUCUAGGUUUUUUUCUGAACUGGAACACUGUGAUUCCAUUAACUUGCAAGCUUAGCUGGAUCGCCAGGUGCAUAGACACAUACAAAGUCCCGUUCGUCCUCAAGCCAAAAGAGCUUGGCUCAUGCGCACCGAAAACCGCUAGAGCGUGUGCUACCUUAUUACAUCAACUGGGACCAAAUUCCACUGCUACAGAAUUGAAAUCUGUGCUAAGGAAGAUACAAAGGUCCCUGUAGAUGAUUCCUUCCGGCGCCCUGCCAUACUCAUUGCUCUUCAGUGCAUGAAAUGUAGAAGCAUGCACAGCGGCAGCACAGGCAGUAGCAGAAUGGGCUAUAAUGAAUGGUGUAUUUGAGUCUGACUGAUCAAAUGCUGGUUCGUGUUUCUAGAUUGUCUAGCUAAGGGCUGGAUUUGUUUAGCUGGAACACAAAUCACGAUCAGAUGUACCUAUUAGGAUGAUUUCGUGUCCCUGCUAGCUAUUUCUGAUUUUGUAGCUAUUCCUUCAGGGUACAUGAUUACAUUACA